GACGAACCGUGCGAACGUUAUUCGGAAUCACUGGGCUUAAAGGGCGCGUAGGCGGGCAACCAAGUCCGGGGUGAAAUCCUCCAGCUCAACUGGAGAAGUGCCUCGGAUACUGGCUGCCUCGAGGAGGGUAGGGCAUCUGGAACUAGCGGUGGAGCGGUGAAAUGCGCAGAUAUCAGGAGGAACACCGGUGGCGAAGGCGGGUCUCUGGGCCGAUACUGACGCUGAGGAGCGAAAGCGUGGGGAGCGAACAGG
rnacentral:rRNA from 1 species